GUACUUACCUGGCAGGGCCGAUGCCACCGUUACGAAAGUGGUUUCCCAGGGCGAGGCACAUCCACUGCACCUCCAUGUGCUGACCCUGCAAUUUCUCUGAACGUGAGAAACUCGACUGCAUAAUCUGUGGUAGUGGGGGACUAUGUUCUCAUUCUCCCCUG